CCUACGGGUGGCAGCAGUGGGGAAUAUUGGACAAUGGGGGGAACCCUGAUCCAGCGAUGCCGCGUGAGUGAUGAAGGCCUUCGGGUUGUAAAACUCUUUCACUGAUGAAGAUGAUGACGGUAGUCAGAGAAGAAGCUCCGGCUAACUUCGUGCCAGCAGCCGCGGUAAUACGAAGGGAGCUAGCGUUGUUCGGAAUUACUGGGCGUAAAGAGUACGUAGGCUGUUAUGUAAGUUAGGUGUGAAAUUCUUGGUCUUAAGCUAAGGACUGCACUUAAUACUGCAUGACUUGAGUAUGGGAGAGGACAGAGGAAUUCCUAGUGUAGAGGUGAAAUUCGUAGAUAUUAGGAGGAACAUCGAUGGCGAAGGCAUCUGUCUGGAACAUAACUGACGCUUAGGUACGAAAGUGUGGGGAGCAAACAGGAUUAGAUACCCCAGUAGUC
rnacentral:rRNA from 1 species